rnacentral:rRNA from 1 species
GACGAACGCUGGCGGCGUGCCUAAUACAUGCAAGUAGAACGCACAGUUUAUACCGUAGCUUGCUACACCAUAGACUGUGAGUUGCGAACGGGUGAGUAACGCGUAGGUAACCUGCCUGGUAGCGGGGGAUAACUAUUGGAAACGAUAGCUAAUACCGCAUAAUAUUAAUUAUUGCAUGAUAAUUAAUUGAAAGGUGCAAUUGCACCACUACCAGAUGGACCUGCGUCGUAUUAGCUAGUAGGUGAGGUAACGGCUCACCUAGGCGACGAUACAUAGCCGACCUGAGAGGGUGAUCGGCCACACUGGGACUGAGACACGGCCCAGACUCCUACGGGAGGCAGCAGUAGGGAAUCUUCGGCAAUGGACGAAAGUCUGACCGAGCAACGCCGCGUGAGUGAAGAAGGUUUUCGGAUCGUAAAGCUCUGUUGUAAGAGAAGAACGGGUGUGAGAGUGGAAAGUUCACACUGUGACGGUAUCUUACCAGAAAGGGACGGCUAACUACGUG